UGUAUGGAAACAAGGCUGUGCGCCGGGGAACGUGCUGGCAGUGAACUAUCGCAGGAGUUCAACAAACCCGAACCUCGCGAGGCGAGUAGAACGGCUCGGUCACGGUGGGAGAACCACGUGCGCCUGUGCGUGGACGGCUGUGUGGAGUCCGUGUUUACUGUCAUGAGGCGGUGCCGUCUGUCACGUUGAUCUCCUCAUGGCCCCGGGAUCCUGCUGAGCGCGCGCGGGGCACAUCCAGCUCAUCCAGGCACACGGCGGCUGCACCUGUCCGCUGCAGGCUGCAGGCACACUUUUAAAACGUGCUUCUUCAUUGAUUGCAUUUCUCGCAGAAAAAUGAAAUGGUGUACAAGGACUGGUGUGACGACGUUUACAUUGCAGGAUUUUGCUCAUAUUUUUGCAUUUACUAAAAAUAUCCCUUAGAACUCUCAUGUAAUGUUGAAAUAAGCAGUAAGGUACUUUUUUUUCUCUCACGCAAGAAUAGCUCAUAAAAUGAGGUUUGAUGAUGAUCCUAACAAACUUAAUACACAAGGGUAUUUCCACAUUUAAUAGGAAUAAUAGGGGUCAGCUGCAGCUUAAUGAACGGAAAUAUGAGAACACACCAACAUUCAGUAGGUGUCACAUGUCAGACGAAAACAGGAACGACAGCAGUGGCAUUUGGGGGUCACUCAGCAACAUACAAGACAUGAAAAUCAUAAAUUGUUCAUCUCGUAGUUAAAGACACCUUAAAUUCAAGGCACAUUAUGAAACCACCGUGAAAGAGGUUUAGGGUUUUCCCAGUUUUCACACCUUUUUAACACAGCAGCAGCACAUUUAGUAAAAUCUAUGGCGAAUCAGAUGAAGUCGUGCACGUUUUUGUGGGGUUUUUUACAUUAUGAAGCUUCUUGCAUUUUCAUCAGUUGUUUUACUCCUUCUGACAAAAAAACAAAACAAAACUAAAAAU